rnacentral:rRNA from 1 species
GGCUAACGCUGGCGGCGUGUCUUAGCCAUGCAAGUCGAGCGGACUUAUGGGGUAACUUAUAAGUCAGCGGCGGACGGCGGAGUAACACGUAGCUAACCUACCCUCUGGACGGGGAUAACCUACCGAAAGGUGGGCUAAUACCCGAUGUAGUCAUCCUGUAUAGGGGUGAUGAAAGGUGGGCUUCUGUUUACAAGCUCAUGCUGGAGGAGGGGGCUGCGGCCUAUCAGGUAGUUGGUAGGGUAAUAGCCUACCAAGCCGAUGACGGGUAGCCGGCCUGAGAGGGUGACCGGCCCGAGGGGCACUGAGAUACGGGUCCCACUCCUACGGGAGGCAGCAGGCUAGAAAUUUGGGCAAUGGGGGAAACCCUGACCCAGUGACGCCGCGUGCAGGAAGGAGCCCUUCGGGGUGUAAACUGCUGUCGUGUAGGGAGAAGGGUACUAAGGUGAACAAUCUUAGUACUUGAGUGUACAGAGAGACCGAGACUACGUGCCCGACGCCGGUAACGUAAAGUGUACGU